GAUGAACGCUGGCGGCGUGCCUAAUACAUGCAAGUCGAGCGAACAGACGAGGAGCUUUCUCCUCUUACGUUACCGGCGGACGGGUGAGUAACACGUGGAUAACCUACCUAUAAGACUGAGAUAACUUAAGGAAACCGAAUCUAAUAUCGGAUCAUAUAUUGAACCGCAUGGUUCAAUAGUGAAAAACGGUUUUGCUGUCACUUAUAGAUGGAUCCGCGCCGCAUUAGCUAGUUGGUAAGGUAACGGCUUACCAAGGCAACGAUGCGUAGCCGACCUGAGAGGGUGAUCGGCCACACUGGAACUGAGACACGGUCCAGACUCCUACGGGAGGCAGCAGUAGGGAAUCUUCCGCAAUGGGCGAAAGCCUGACGGAGCAACGCCGCGUGAGUGAUGAAGGUCUUCGGAUCGUAAAACUCUGUUAUUAGGGAAGAACAAAUGUGUAAGUAACUAUGCACGUCUUGACGGUACCUAAUCAGAAAGCCACGGCUAACUACGUG
rnacentral:rRNA from 1 species